rnacentral:rRNA from 1 species
GAUGAACGCUGGCGGCGUGCUUAACACAUGCAAGUCGAACGGGAAACCUUUUAAUGUAGCUUCGGCAGAUUUAGCUGGUUUCUAGUGGCGGACGGGUGAGUAACGCGUGGGUAACCUGCCUUAUACAGGGGGAUAACAGUCAGAAAUGACUGCUAAUACCGCAUAAGCGCACAGGACCGCAUGGUCCGGUGUGAAAAACUCCGGUGGUAUAAGAUGGACCCGCAUUGGAUUAGCUUGUUGGUGGGGUAACGGCUCACCAAGGCGACGAUCCAUAGCCGGCCUGAGAGGGUGAACGGCCACAUUGGGACUGAGACACAGCCCAGACUCCUACGGAAGGCAGCAGUGGGGAAUAUUGCACAAUGGGGGAAGCCCUGAUGCAGCGACGCCGCGUGAAGGAAGAAGUAUGUCGGUAUGUAAAGUUCUAUCAGCAGGGAAGAUAGUGACGGUACCUGACGAAGAAGCCCCGGCUAACUACGUG